AUUGAACGCUGGCGGCAGGCCUAACACAUGCAAGUCGAGCGGUUGACGGGAGCUUGCUCCCUGAUUCAGCGGCGGACGGGUGAGUAAUGCCUAGUAAUCUGCCUAUUAGUGGGGGACAACGUUUCGAAAGGGACGCUAAUACCGCAUACGUCCUACGGGAGAAAGCAGGGGACCUUCGGGCCUUGCGCUAAUAGAUGCGCCUAGGUCGGAUUAGCUUGUUGGUGAGGUAAUGGCUCACCAAGGCGACGAUCCGUAACUGGUCUGAGAGGAUGAUCAGUCACACUGGAACUGAGACACGGUCCAGACUCCUACGGGAGGCAGCAGUGGGGAAUAUUGGACAAUGGGCGAAAGCCUGAUCCAGCCAUGCCGCGUGUGUGAAGAAGGUCUUCGGAUUGUAAAGCACUUUAAGUUGGGAGGAAGGGUUGUAGAUUAAUACUCUGCAAUUUUGACGUUACCGACAGAAUAAGCACCGGCUAACUCUGUGCCAGCAGCCGCCGCCGUAA
rnacentral:rRNA from 1 species